rnacentral:SRP_RNA from 1 species
GCUCCUGUAAUCCAGCAACUCAGAGGCUUCGUUGGUCAGUCAGUUUGAGGAUGGGAGUCCUGGUAAUCAGUCAUCUAUGGUGAUAGGGUGUCCACGCAUCAAUAUGGUGUUGGCAAAGGAGUUCAUUAGGACCAGGUUGUCUAAGGAGGGUUGCUUCAACCCAGGGCAGAAACGCAUCGGGCAAAAGAUCCCGUGUUGGGCAGUAGUGGGAACGAGUCUGUGAACAAUCAUAGGCUGUCAGCCUGUUCAAUAUAAUGGAACUCAAACCUUU